GACAGAGGUUGCAAACGUUGUUCGGAAUCACUGGGCAUAAAGCGCACGUAGGCGGUCUGUUAAGUCAGGUGUGAAAGCCCCCGGCUCAACCGGGGAAUUGCAUUUGAUACUGGCAGGCUCGAGAACGGUAGGGGUGAGUGGAACUCCAGGUGGAGCGGUGAAAUGCGUAGAUAUCAAGAGGAACACCUGAGGCGAAGGCGGGUUGCUAGGCUGACACUGACGCUGAGUGCGCGAAAGCCAGGGGAGCAAACGGG
rnacentral:rRNA from 1 species